GUACGGCCGCAAGGUUAAAACUCAAAUGAAUUGACGGGGGCCCGCACAAGCGGUGGAGCAUGUGGUUUAAUUCGAUGCAACGCGAAGAACCUUACCUACUCUUGACAUCCAGAGAACUUNGCAGAGAUGGAUUGGUGCCUUCGGGAACUCUGAGACAGGUGCUGCAUGGCUGUCGUCAGCUCGUGUUGUGAAAUGUUGGGUUAAGUCCCGCAACGAGCGCAACCCUUAUCCUUUGUUGCCAGCGGUCCGGCCGGGAACUCAAAGGAGACUGCCAGUGAUAAACUGGAGGAAGGUGGGGAUGACGUCAAGUCAUCAUGGCCCUUACGAGUAGGGCUACACACGUGCUACAAUGGCGCAUACAAAGAGAAGCGACCUCGCGAGAGCAAGCGGACCUCAUAAAGUGCGUCGUAGUCCGGAUUGGAGUCUGCAACUCGACUCCAUGAAGUCGGAAUCGCUAGUAAUCGUAGAUCAGAAUGCCACGGUGAAUACGUUCCCGGGCCUUGUACACACCGCCCGUCACACCAUGGGAGUGGGUUGCAAAAGAAGUAGGUAGCUUAACCUUCGGGAGGGCGCUUACCACUUUGUGAUUCAUGACUGGGG
rnacentral:rRNA from 1 species